CUUCUCUGGGGCAAAAUACGCGCCCUACAAGUAACCGACGUUGAUAGCGUCGGUUAUUUUUUUGU
rnacentral:sRNA from 1 species